GAUGAACGCUGGCGGCGUGCCUAAUACAUGCAAGUCGAGCGAACGGACGAGAAGCUUGCUUUUCUGAUGUUAGCGGCGGACGGGUGAGUAACACGUGGAUAACCUACCUAUAAGACUGGGAUAACUUCGGGAAACCGGAGCUAAUACCGGAUAAUAUUUUGAACCGCAUGGUUCAAAAGUGAAAGACGGUCUUGCUGUCACUUAUAGAUGGAUCCGCGCUGCAUUAGCUAGUUGGUAAGGUAACGGCUUACCAAGGCAACGAUGCAUAGCCGACCUGAGAGGGGGAUCGGCCACACGGGAACUGAGACACGGUCCAGACUACUACGGGAGGCAGCAGUAGGGAAUCUUACGCAAUGGGCGAAAGCCUGACGGAGCAACGCCGCGUGAGUGAUGAAGGUCUUCGGAUCGUAAAACUCUGUUAUUAGGGAAGAACAUAUGUGUAAGGAACUGUGCACAGCUUGACGGUACCUAAUCAGAAAGCCACGGCUAACUACGUG
rnacentral:rRNA from 1 species